rnacentral:rRNA from 1 species
UGUAUGAAGUUGGAAUCGCUAGUAAUCGCGGAUCAGCAUGCCGCGGUGAAUACGUUCCCGGGCCUUGUACACACCGCCCGUCACACCAUGAGAGUCGGGAACACCCGAAGUCCGUAGCCUAACCGCAAGGGGGCGCGGCCGAAGGUGGGUUCGAUAAUUGGGGUGAAGUCGUAACAAGGUACC